AAAAGUGUGCCAAAGGUACAAAAUAGUUUGAACGAGUUAUGUAUUUUUUAAGUCUUUUGAAAUAGAUUUGAAUAUGCUUAAGAUGUAUUAGCAUUUAUUAAGAAAAGAUUUUGAAAAUUACUUGACAAAAGUCAAGGUUUAUUGAAAAAGUGGUUCAAGUUUGAAAAUAAGAAGAUUUUAAAAAGAAGAGAGAAAAUUUUGAAAAUUAAACAAGGAGAGGAU
rnacentral:lncRNA from 1 species